rnacentral:tRNA from 1 species
UCCCUGGUGGUCUAGUGGCUAAGACUCUGUGCUCCCGAUGCAGGAGACAUGGGUUUGAUCCCUGGUCAGGGAG